CCCCAGGACACAAGAGGUUCCACUUGGGGUUAAAAAAUAAACUAAUUAAAGGCCUUUCAGUUUUUCCAAAAUCGAGAAUUAAAAAAAAAAAAAUUCCUUCCUCCUCUUUCUUACUCUCUUCCUCUUCCUCCUCUCCCUCCUUCCCUCUCCUCCCUUCCCUUAUCCUCCCCUCCCCCUCCUUUCUCCCCCUUCUUAUACUCUUCCUCUUCGCUCCUCUCUUUAGUCCUUCCCUCCCUCCUCCCUCCUUUCUCUCUCCCUCCUCCUUCUCCUCCUGUCUCCCUUCCUUCCUCCCUCCUUCCUUUUCUGAGCUGAAGAGGAAAUAUUCUAAACCAAAAAUCUUAGAUGCUCUGCCCAAAGCCACUUCUUUGUGGGGACUGCCACCCUCAUGGUCCACAGGAGGGACCAUGUCAGUAGACUGCACCAACCUACUCCCUGGCCUGAAACGAGUGAAGUGGACAGAAGGCCACGUGUCUCCAGUUGAACUUCUUGAAAGGUGGCACCCAACAGAAGACAGGGACCAGGCUGGCUCUGUAUUGCGCUUUGCUCUCCUAAGCCAUAAGGACUUGAUUGCUGUAAUCAAUGGGGAAAGGUCUGGUCUAAGGCGAUACCGUACUCUGCCUUGCAUUUCCUCGCCAUGAGUUAGCAAUUUGCAGUGCUACCUGGGUCUCCUUUAUGACCAGUAACUUGUUUUCUAUGGAAAGAUCUGUUCAGGAUGCCCUGGCCCUGUGACUGCUGAUGGACAGCUGUCAGCAGCUGUCAUCAAACACAACACUUAGACCAGUGGUUCUCAGUGUGUGAGUGGAGACCCCUUGGGAGACAAACGACCCUUUCACAGGGGUUGCAUAUCAGAUAUCCUGCAUAUCAGACAUUUACAGUGCAAUUCACAACAGUAGCAAAGUAACAAUGAAAAUAAUGUUAAUGGAUGAGGGUCACCACAACGUGAGGAACUGUAUUAAGGGUCACAGCAUCAGGAAGGGUGAGAACCAGACUUAGAGGGACCCUGUCCCAUUCUAAUCCCCUGCACCAAAGGCAGAGGUUGAGAGUUUCCAGUUAGAUUUCAGCCUUCCGGAGCCACCGGGCAUCGGCAAGUGUCCUUCCUAACUGUAGGGACAGAAUGGACACAUCACACAGCUGCAAAAGGGACAUGGCCUCCAAGGCUGGGUUCUGAGAAAUGACCCGAACAGGCAGGAUGUGGACACCCUUCUUAUUUCUGUCACCUCCAUGGGUGUCUGAUGAAGUGACAGCAGCCUCAGUGGCUCUGUGGAGGGCACUCAGCCCUGUACAGCCUUACCUCCUUGUGUGAGCUGCUGCGCCCCAUGGCAGGCUUUACAGAGCAGACACCCAGAGAGGAAGCUAUAGCCAUGCUAACAUCUCCCCGCCUCCUGCUUCCCACCCCAGCAGAACAUAUGUGGUGGGAGAGGGGUGGGGUGGGGUCUCCCUUCCCUGGAGCCCUGGGAGGAAGCAGAGCAAGAGCCCACGAGGAGGAUGUAUGUUCUGGAAAGUUCUUUGGAUGUGGUGUUUGAACUUGGUCUUGAUCAGCCUGAGCAUGGUGUGUUUGCAUAGAGGUUCUUAGCAUGGGUUUUCCUUACUUCUGGAUUCCUGGCUCACAGCAUGGCGGCUCUCCUGCUGAGCCCCAGUCCAUAGACUAGCAGCAAGGGACCAGUCUGAGAGACCAGAACAGUGUGGGGUUCCCAGCGGGGAACUCCCAACCCCACCUGCUGGCUUAGGGGAGUCCCCGAAGCUUUCCCUAUAAAACUUCUAAAAUGGCACAGAUCCCAUUACAGGUAAAAUAAAUGAACCCCCACUCCCUCAACUUGUAGAAAGGCAGAGCGGUGCUAUAGGUACAAUUUUUAAUAAAAAUAUUUUGUUCCUUAAGUGCUUGUAAAUUUUUAAAUCUUUCAUUUCUAUUU
rnacentral:lncRNA from 1 species